AGAGUUUGAUUCUGGCUCAGAACGAACGCUGGCGGCACGCCUAACACAUGCAAGUCGAGCGCUCACUUCGGUGGGAGCGGCGGACGGGUUAGUAACGCGUGGGAACAUACCCUUUACUACGGAAUAGCCUUUGGAAACGAAGAGUAAUACCGUAUACGCCCUACGGGGGAAAGAUUUAUCGGUAAAGGAUUGGCCCGCGUUAGAUUAGAUAGUUGGUGGGGUAACGGCCUACCAAGUCUACGAUCUAUAGCUGGUUUGAGAGGAUGAUCAGCAACACUGGGACUGAGACACGGCCCAGACUCCUACGGGAGGCAGCAGUGGGGAAUCUUAGACAAUGGGGGAAACCCUGAUCUAGCGAUGCCGCGUGUGUGACGAAGGCCUUAGGGUCGUAAAGCACUUUCGCCAGAGAUGAUAAUGACAGUAUCUGGUAAAGAAACCCCGGCUAACUCCGUGCCAGCAGCCGCGGUAAUACGGAGGGGGUUAGCGUUGUUCGGAAUUACUGGGCGUAAAGCGUACGUAGGCGGAUUAGUAAGUUAGAGGUGAAAUCCCAGGGCUCAACCCUGGAACUGCCUUUAAUACUGCUAGUCUAGAGUUCGAGAGAGGUGAGUGGAAUUCCAAGUGUAGAGGUGAAAUUCGUAGAUAUUUGGAGGAACACCAGUGGCGAAGGCGGCUCACUGGCUCGAUACUGACGCUGAGGUACGAAAGUGUGGGGAGCAAACAGGAUUAGAUACCCUGGUAGUCCACACUGUAAACGAUGAAUGCCAGUCGUCGGGUAGUAUACUAUUCGGUGACACACCUAACGGAGUAAGCAUUCCGCCUGGGGAGUACGGUCGCAAGAUUGAAACUCAAAGGAAUUGACGGGGGCCC
rnacentral:rRNA from 1 species